rnacentral:rRNA from 1 species
CGGAACACGUAGGCAAUCUGCCCGGAAAGGGAGGAACAACCAGCCGAAAGGUUGGCUAAAUCUCCGUAAAAUCAUAGAGUGGCAUCACUUAUUGAUCAAGUUUUUUUCCGGAUGAGCCUGCGUCUGAUUAGCUAGUUGGCGGGGUAACGGCCCACCAAGGCUACGAUCAGUAGCUGGUCUGAGAGGAUGAUCAGCCACAUUGGGACUGAGAUACGGCCCAG